AAGAUCACAAUCCGCCUUUAAAAUAUCAUGGCAAUAUUGGAGCACUUCUUUGCCCAUAACAUCCCAAUUCUCCUCAUAAAAGAGGCCUGAUAACCCAUCAGUACCCGGAGCUUUAUGAGGGUCCAUUUGAUUGAAGGCCUCAACAAUUUCUCUAUUCGUAACCGGCCCAUCCAACAAGGAGUUCAUCUCAAGGGUAAUGUAUAUCUGAAUCUGAUAAAAAAUCCCCUCAAAAUUACCACACGUCUUAGAUUUGAAUAACGAAAGAAAAUAGUCCCUAGCCAACCCACAAACAUCACUCGGAUCAUCACCCAUUAACCAUCGGAAUUAAACAACCCCUCAAUUCUAUUCCUUUUAUUUCAUCUAGUAGCCCGAACAUGGAAAAACCAAGUGUUCCUGUCACCUUCUUUUAGCCACAGAUUCGAGGAUCUUUGGCUCCAAUAAGUUUCUUCUUCCAAGUAUAAGCGCUUUAACUUAGCCCGAGCAGCUUUUAACUCAUCGAUAUUUGACUCCAAUAUAAGCCCAUCAAUAAGUCUGUAAACCCGACAAAUAAAUCAACGCAUAUGACUUUUCAACCUCUUAAAUCGAUGAUGCUGCCAAUCCCCGAGACAAGCACCCACCGCCUUGAUUUUAGACAAAAGAUUCCUAUCCCUUUGAUCCCACUCGCUUCUAAUAAUAUCUUUAGCCUCAUUUUCCUCAACCCAACAAGCUUCGUAUCUAAAAAAUAAUCUUAGAUCUCUCAAAACAUCCAUCGAUCGUUGACCCGAUGUAUUAAGGAAAAUAGCAUCGUGAUCCAAACUAGCUUGAUGAACA
rnacentral:lncRNA from 1 species